AGUCAGCAUCAGCUUUCUCAGACAUGGGGGAGGGUCUCAGGGGAAUGGUGACUCACUUAGAACAGGCUUCCUUGCACAGAAUGCCCUGUCCCUGUGUUAUACAGAGCAGGAAGCUUUAACUGGAUCAUUGCAUCUUGCCCCAGGAGGCAGCUAGCGGAGGUGGGAGAGAGAAUUUUCUUCAUCUCCUUGACUCUGAGUUGACCGCAGACUGCUUUGACCGACAGCACAGUGAACUUGUGGAUCUGGGGUGGAGCCCUUAGCCAGCCUAAUAAUUUCUGCUUCCUGCCUCUUGGAGCCAGCGGCCAUAUAAGAAGUAUGACUCUCCUGAGACCACCAGAUGAUAUGCCAUGUGGAGAGGAAGAAAGGCCAAGGAGCAAAAGGUGUACCAGACAUGGGUGAAGAAGCCCUCUUGGAAGUGGAUUUUCUAGCCCUAGAUUCCCAAAUUCCCAGCUGAAAUCCAGAAAUCCCAACCCACUGAAUUGUGGAAAAAUAAAAUAAAUGUAUGAACACACUAAGUUUUGAGGGUACUUGGUUACCCAGCAAUAGAAAACUAAAUAGUCGCGUUUUUUCCUCUUCUGGGUUCGUGAAUCUUUCACCCAAGGACUUGCUAAUUGUGUUGAAUUGAGAAAAGCCACAGACUUUCCCAGCCCAGGUGGUCUGGUGUUCAAACCUUGACUCUGUCAUCUUUUAGCUGUGUGUUCACAUAACGCUUUGAACUUCAUUCAGCUUUUCAAUCUAUGAUAGGGCCUUAUAAGGGCUCCUAAAGACGCGGGGAGGCCACACCGAGCCGGUCCACUGAAAGUACUUUGUAGCAUUGUUUGGUCCUAAGUAUGCUGUCAGGCGUACGUUGUGAAUAAAAGAACCCACUGAGACUCUGUGGGACACCUGCCGGUCAGUUCCACAUCCCUGAUGAAAAAACUGAGACUCAGAGAAGCUGAUGUGGCUUGUGUAAAAAUCUACAUUAGUAACGACAGAAGUAGGACAAGAAGGCAGAUUCCUAGUCACCAAGUCCAGUAAGAUUUGGGGCAAUCACUGAGAAUAUUUGACUUCAGCAUAAAGUAAAGAAGAUAAGAAAGUGUCCAAGAGGCAUAAAAUUUUAAUCUGAAAGCAUUGCAAUAUGAUGACUCCUUGAGCAACAUAAGAAAUUUGGAGUUCCUUUAAAGCUGCAAACACGAGAAGUUUACUCCUUCCAACUUGUCGUUCUUGGCAAAGUAGGCAUAAAUGGCACCUCAUUCCUUCCGUUUCCAGUCGGAGGUGCUUCUGUUUUGAGCGUGUGUGUUCCUCUUUUCUGGAAGUUUUUCUUGACAGAAGCAGAGAGGUUUUUGACAAACAACUUUAAUAUUCUUUGUGUCUGUGUGGCUGGCUCUAAUAAUCCUGCAAGCUUACAAGGUCACUGUUAAGAUUAAAUCUGAGUCAUCGGAGGCAGAUGUUGACACAUCAUUAUUUAAAUCCUGAGCUGCUGAAGGACUCUCAUCCUCAUGAGCUGUGAUUCACUGUCCAAACGAACACCCCAAAUUCCGCAUAGGUUGCUGAGCAGAGACUCUGGACUCCAUUAGGGAAAAAAGUUUGCCUUUGUGUGUGAGAAAGCCCUACUUUCUGUUGCAGAAGCAUGGUCUACAGGGAGAGUGAAUGUUUCAGCAGACCUGGGCUCCUGUCUCAUCUCUAGCUCUGGGCUUUAUUUUAUUACCUGCUCUUCAUAAACUUUCCCAUAAUUUACACUUGCACGUUUAUUUAUAUGUUAUUGCUUUUUUAGUGAAGUAUACUUUUUAAAGUAAAAUGUGUUAUGUGUCCAGCUUGAUGAAAUUUUGCAAGCGUGUACUCUAAGUCAGCACCAUGCAUAUGACAACAUGGAACAUUUUCACCACCCCAGAAGGUUCCCUGUGCCCCUUCCCAAUCAAUAACCCUUCAAGGUAACUGCUGUUCUGACUUUUGAUGCCAUGGAUCAAUUUCCUCAGUUCUAGGAUUUCACGUAGAAGUCAAAUGGCACAUGCUUUUUUGUAUUUGGCUCUUUUGCUCAGAAAAAUACCUGUGAGAUUUAUCUGUGGUGUUGUGGGUAUCAGUGAUUUGUUACUUUUUAUUGCUGAAUACUAUCCCAUUGUAUGACUAUACUAAAAUUUGUUUAUGCAUUCUUUUGUCCAUGGAUACCUGGUUUGUUUUCAAACUUUGGCUAUUAUGAAUAAAGCUGCUAUACCUAUUCUUGUAUACA